CAAAAUUCUCUCUCAACUCACAUAAGGUAAUCUGUGAGUGGCGGUCUCAUCAAGCCAGGAUCCGAGGGUUAUAGAGGAGAAGAUCUUCAGCAUUGAAGGCCCGGAUUCCUGUCAUUUUGCUCCAAGAACGAUGAAUACCAAAUCAGGUUGCGUAAGAAUUAUAGCAAUAACAUCACUCACUGGUUUUCUCAGUUCUCCUUGUUAAGAGUUUUCUUGAUGGAGAGCGACAACUGUGCUCAAAAUUGCUCGGGGUUUCUGUAUUUCCCUCCUCCAUCAGCGUGGACAGUCCCAAUUUCUGUAUCGUACGACAACAACGACACUCCGUGGUGGGACACUCCGAAGAGCACCAUAAUCGUCCUAGUCAUCGUCGCUGUCAUAGUAAUCGGUGGGUUCCUUUGCAAAAGUCAUCUUACUCGUGAGGACACAACUGCUCCGCCAGAGAAGAAUUCGAAAAGUGAGACUGUACCAGAGAAGGAUUCGAAAAGUGAGACUGUAUAGUUUAUCAACAUGAAAAAAAAAAAAAAAAAAAGUGAUUGUUGAACAUCAAAAUAGGUAAUUGUGGGAUGUGAAAAGAAGUGAUGGUUGAUUAUGAAAAGUGGUAACGGUUUGAAUAAAGUACUCAUUUUCAAGA